AAAAUCCGUAGAGAUCAAGAGGAAUACUCAUUGCGAAGGCGACCUGCUGGAACAUUACUGACGCUGAUUGCGCGAAAGCGUGGGGAGCAAACAGGAUUAGAUACCCUGGUAGUCCACGCCCUAAACGAUGGAUGCUAGUUGUUGGAGGGCUUAGUCUCUCCAGUAAUGCAGCUAACGCAUUAAGCAUCCCGCCUGGGGAGUACGGUCGCAAGAUUAAAACUCAAAGGAAUAGACGGGGACCCGCACAAGCGGUGGAGCAUGUGGUUUAAUUCGAAGAUACACGAAGAACCUUACCUAGGCUUGACAUUGAGAGAAUCCGCUAGAAAUAGUGGAGUGUCUGGCUUGCCAGACCUUGAAAACAGGUGCUGCACGGCUGUCGUCAGCUCGUGUCGUGAGAUGUUGGGUUAAGUCCCGCAACGAGCGCAACCCCCUUUCUUAGUUGCUAACAGGUUAUGCUGAGAACUCUAAGGAUACUGCCUCCGUAAGGAGGAGGAAGGUGGGGACGACGUCAAGUCAUCAUGGCCCUUACGCCUAGGGCUACACACGUGCUACAAUGGGGUGCACAAAGAGAAGCAAUACUGCGAAGUGGAGUCAAUCUUCAAAACACCUCUCAGUUCGGAUUGUAGGCUGCAACUCGCCUGCAUGAAGCUGGAAUCGCUAGUAAUCGCAAAUCAGCCAUGUUGCGGUGAAUACGUUCCCGGGUCUUGUACUCACCGCCCGUCACACCAUGGGAGUUGUGUUUGCCUUAAGUCAGGAUGCUAAAUUGGCUACUGCCCACGGCACACACAGCGACUGGGGUGAAGUCGUAACAAGGUAACCGUAGGUGAACCUGCGGUUG
rnacentral:rRNA from 1 species